CGCGAAGAACCUUACCUGGUCUUGACAUCCACAGAACUUUCCAGAGAUGGAUUGGUGCCUUCGGGAACUGUGAGACAGGUGCUGCAUGGCUGUCGUCAGCUCGUGUUGUGAAAUGUUGGGUUAAGUCCCGCAACGAGCGCAACCCUUAUCCUUUGUUGCCAGCGGUCCGGCCGGGAACUCAAAGGAGACUGCCAGUGAUAAACUGGAGGAAGGUGGGGAUGACGUCAAGUCAUCAUGGCCCUUACGACCAGGGCUACACACGUGCUACAAUGGCGCAUACAAAGAGAAGCGACCUCGCGAGAGCAAGCGGACCUCAUAAAGUGCGUCGUAGUCCGGAUUGGAGUCUGCAACUCGACUCCAUGAAGUCGGAAUCGCUAGUAAUCGUGGAUCAGAAUGCCACGGUGAAUACGUUCCCGGGUCUUGUACACACC
rnacentral:rRNA from 1 species